rnacentral:rRNA from 1 species
UACGAAGGGGGGCUAGCGUUGCUCGGAAUCACUGGGCGUAAAGGGUGCGUAGGCGGGUCUUUUAAGUCAGGGGUGAAAUCCUGGAGCUCAACUCCAGAACUGCCUUUGAUACUGAAGAUCUUGAGUUCGGGAGAGGUGAGUGGAACUGCGAGUUGUAGAGGUGAAAUUCGUAGAUAUUCGCAAGAACACCAGUGGCGAAGGCGGCUCACUGGCCCGAUACUGACGCUGAGGCACGAAAGCGUGGGGAGCAAACAGGG